rnacentral:rRNA from 1 species
CUAGCUGUAAACGAUGGAUACUAGGCGUUGAGAGUAUCGACCCUCUCAGUGUCGUAGCUAACGCGUUAAGUAUCCCGCCUGGGGAGUACGCGCGUAAGCGUGAAACUCAAAGGAAUUGACGGGGGCCCGCACAAGCGGUGGAGUAUGUGGUUUAAUUCGAUGCAACGCGAAGAACCUUACCAGGGCUUGACAUGUCCGGAACCCUGCCCAAAGGCGGGGGUGCCUACGGGAACCGGAACACAGGUGGUGC